CAUGUUCUUAACUGCUGAGCCCCAAUUUUUAAAGAGAUUUAUUCUUUUCAGAGAGGAGGUGAGGUCGAGCAUCAGAAAAACCAUUUCCUGUCGGCUUCCUGGAUUUGGGGAGAAAGGGGAACUCACAGCCUCUGGGCUCCACCUCUGUCCACCAGAGUGAAUUUCAGCACAGGCACAGAGGAUACCACCGUCCUAUCCCUCCAGCCGGGGAUGAGUUUCAAAGCACCAUCCUGAUUCCCCAGGAACUCCACCUCUGAAUAGCAGAGCCUUCUCAAUCCCUGUGCACCAAGAGGGAAACUGAGGCACGCCUGGCGUACUGGGAGUAGAAGCACAGUAGAUACAGAGGCCAGAAGAGGGCGCCAGAUCUCAUUACAGAUGGUUGUGAGCCACCCUGUGGGUGCUGGGAAUUUAACUCAGGACCUCUGGAAGAACAGCCAGUGCUCUUA